UAUGCUAAUUCUGUUCUGCCUGUGCUCUGUGAAUGAAAGAACAGAGCCUGGAUGACAACACAUCUGCUUACAGCUUGGCUUAUUGAAUGUUUUAGGCCCACUGUUAAGACCUAGUGCUCAGGAAAAAAAAAGAUUCUUUUCUAAAAUAUAUGGUCUAAUUGACAAUGCUGGUCAUCUGAGAGCUCCGGUAGAGAAAUAUACAAUGAGAUUAAUGUUUUAAUGACUGCCGACAGAUCAAUUUUGCAGCCCAUGAAUCAAGAAGUAACUUUGCCUUUCAAGUCUUUUUGAGAAAACCAUUUUAUAAGGCUAUAGCUGCCGUAGAUAGUGAUUCCUCUGAUGGAUCUGGGCAAAAUCAAUAAAAAUCUGGAAAGAAUUCAUCCUUCUAGAUGCCGUUCAUGAUUCAUGGAAAGAGGUCAAAUUAUCAACAUGAACAGGAGUUUGGAAAAAGUUGAUCCAACCCUUGUGGAUGACUUUGAGGGAUUUAAGACUUGAGUAGAGGAAAUUACUGCAGAUGUGGCAGAAAGAGCAAGUGAACUCGAAUUACAAGCGGAGGCUGAGGAUGUGACUGAAUUGCUGCGAUCUCAUUUAGCCGAAGGGACGAGGAGCUGCUCUUUACAGAUGAGCAAAGAACAUGGAUUCUUAAAAUGGGGUCCAUUCCUGGGGGAGAUGGUGAAGAUUGCUGAAAUGACAGCAGAGCACUUAGAAUGUUACCUAAGUUAGUUGAUAAAGUAGCAACAAAGUUUAGGAAUAUUGACCCCAGUUUUUAAAUGGGUAAAAUGCUAUCAAACGGCACUUCAUGACAGAGAAAUCAUUCUUGAAAGGAAAAGUCAACCGAUGCAGCAAACUUCAUUGCUGUCUUAUUUUAAGAAACUGCCACAGCCACCCCAGCCUUCAGCAACUGCCACCCUGAUCAGUCAGCAGCCAUCAACAAAAGACCCCCUCCUCCACCAGCAAAAAGAUUAUGACUUACAGAAGCUCAGAUUAUAUUGAGCAAUAAAGUAUUUUUCAAUUAAGGCAUCGAUGACCUUCAAUAACUUGGUCUUAACUUGACCGCGAGGGCAGCUGCACUCAGCACAGAAGACUUGUACUGAGAGGUGGUACGGAAGGCUGUUUUUGGGCUUCGGAUUUCACUGGGUAAAGCCUCACCUCUCCUCCAUGAUGCCUCCUUCAUUCUGCCUUUUCUCCAAAACACAUCUUUAGGGCACCCUUCCUCCUUCCUGCAGCCCAGAAUUCCUACAUCCGUCAGGCUGUUCUCGGAUUAAUCUUCUGAUGUCUAGCAAGGUAAGAACUCAUAGUGGACAGUUUGCUACAUUCCUCAUACAAGCUCUCUCCAGUGUGC